AGGUUUCCCAUUGGUUAUUUGGUUACACUCUACGUAAAUGAAGAUGUGGCCCACUACCAGUCUGGUUGCAGGAGGUGAUCAUCAGAGGCGGAACUGAAGUUACAAAGUUAGACAUGAAGACUUGGGCCACCACUCAUCUGAUUGGUUGCAGGAGGGGACCAAUCAGAGCUCUACCACCCCUGAGAAAGCAAGACCAACCCCUCCUCUGUCUCCUCCUCCUCAGCCUAUUCAACAUGAAGACAACAAGUAUAAAGACCUUUAUGAUGAUCCACUUCCACUCAAUGAAUAAUUUCAUCAGUAGGAAAAGAAGAGGAGCUGUGAUAUUGUUUGCUUCCAUCAACCCUCCCACAGCAUCUUUUUAAUAAUAUCUGAGACUAAUAAAAAGAUCUCGCUCUGAUGUCACCUUGGAGCCCUAGGUAUAAAACAUGAAGAAGUAAGCUCGGCAUUCACAAAAGAAAAAAGGAAUUUUGUAAUGUAAGUUAAUAAAUAGAACACUAGUGGAAAAUAGAGUCAGCCAUUGAUCAUUAUUUUGAAA